AGUGAGUGUGUUAGUUUUUGUGUGUGUGUGUUAGUUUGUGUGUGUCUGUUAUUGAGUGUGUGUCUGCUAGUGAGUGUCAGUGUGUGUUUGUUAGUUUGUAUGUCAGUGAGUGUGUGUGUGUGCGUCAAUGAGUGUGUUAGUUUGUGUGUGUCUGUUAGUGAGUCUGUUUGAUGUCUGUUAGUGAGUGUGUGUUUGUCAGUGAGAGUGUAUGUUUUGUAAGUGAGUGUGUAUGUGAGUCUGUCUGUCAGUGAGUGUGUAUGUAUGUAUGUCGCUGAGUGUGUCUCUGUCAGUAAAUGUGUGUGUCUG